CAAACCCCAUAGGUGUUAGGUCUUACCUCCAUUAAUUACACUUGUGGAAUUAAACCUGUGCGCUGCCUUUGGAGCAUUCUUCGUUGAGUUACCUGACAAAUAAUACGGCCUGCAGCACUCAUGGUUCAAGAGGUCUUUGCUUUAGUUUUGCCUGGAGCCUCACAUCAAACCUUCCCGUCCCUCCAUCCCCAGCCUCUCUUUCUCCAUCACCGCCUUUUCCUUCCCUGCCUCCACUCUCUCAUCCUCCUCCACCUCCACUAGUCUUGGCUGGGCCACUCCUCCCCCCAUGCCUUGAGUGAAGCUGUGAAACCAGGUCAUGCUAGCGAAGACUGCUGUGGGCUGUGUACAGUAACGAGGGAGGGCUGAGACUCCCACUCCUGGUCAGGACAGAGCAGCAGGUUUUCAGGCUCCUGGGCGAGCACGGCUCGUGAGCGGACCUGAACCGAGGCAAAGUCGACGCCGGCCUCUUUGGCGCAGAUGUUGACGCACGAGCUCCAGUCUGACCACUCCAUCAGCACAAUAUGAAGACUGCCGCUUCACAAAAUGAAGAGCACUGCUGUGGACAUGGGAGGGACAGUAAACUGUUGAACCUGCAGACCUGAUGGACAGAUGGAGUCCAGCAGCUGCUGGGCAGAGCACACCUGUCUGCUAUGCUCCACAUUGCAAAGCUACAUCAAACCCAGCAUCUGACAAGCCUCCAUCACCAAACCUGAAAACAACUCAUCAGAUGCAAGCUUUUGAAGUGAUAAUCCCAUCUGUGAGAUUUUUUUUGCUACAGUGAGGGGUGACAUCUUUGGCCCUAAGCUGACAUUCUGCUGUUUUUGCGCUGCGGUGCCGAGACAUCAGCUGUCAGUCAAAGAGUGGUCAACAGGCUCCUGUGAAGGCUUUUCUCCUCAGAGGUCAAAAUAUCCAGCAACACGCGCUUUAUAUAGAACGGUUUUAUUGAUCAAAAAAUACGUUUCAGCUCGUAACCUUCACAAAAAUAUUACAGAAAACUAUUUAAAAGGUAGAAAAACUAUAAGAAACCCGCCCCCUUUUUAAAAUUUUAUUGGUAUACAGAAUUUUUUUUUUAACUGUAAUGACAGACAUAACUGCUUGAAGAUGUAGAGACAGAUUUGGUUACAUCUCAAUCCUCAUGCUCAAAUUAGAAACAAUAACCAUGUGACUAGAAAGGAUUAGCAUUUCAUCUGAGUUGGUGUUUUUUUUCCUUUUGUGCCUCCUCAUCUCCUCCGUCCUCCUGCCCUGACCUGGAAAUCUAUCUCAGUCUCAGUGAGAAGACUGAGGAGACAGGGGGGCUUGUCGGAGGAGCUAUAACCAGGUGUUUUUUUUCUUUUCUUUUGUUGCUGUGCUUUCACCUGUGACGCAUGAAACAGAAGUGCCACAAAACUGAAAUGUGCAAAUCAUGUCAAAGGGGGGGGGAGUUCCUCGUUUAUUUAAGACGUUGAGCGAUGUGAUCAAACUUUCUAACCUUCAGUUCUUUGUGUAAAUGUAAUAAAUAGUAGCACUAAAUUUAAGUUUUCGUGACAUUGCUAUGGUGUGGCUGCUGACAUUGUAAAUUACAGCAGAAGCACAAAAGGCAGCCGAAGCAGCCGGCUCACACAUUACAUUUACUUGCCGUUGCUUUAAAAUGCAAAGCGAGAAGUGGAGGACGUACAGAUAGGUAUACUCGAAAUAUUACACUUUUAUUUAUGGUGCAAUAAAUAAGCACAGCUUGUGCCCUGCAGUGUGUGAGCUGUUGAUUUCCCCCCCUAUUGUUUUCAACCCAGCACCUUCGCUUUGUUGUUGUGGUUUUGUCUGCAUUUUUCUAGUUUCUGUAGUAGAAAAAAAUACCUCUUCAGACUUUUAUUUAGUUCCUGCACCUUGGAAGUAAGUGAAGUUUUGCCAGAAACUAUUUGUCUGUUGUCUUAUACUUUGUUUUGAUGACUCCUUUUGUAGACAAAUGGUUACUGCUGCUUAUGUUAAAUACCCACUUCUAUUUACUUCCAGGAAAAGUGCUUCUAGUGCAGCAGGAAAGGACUGGUGAGGCCUGGGAUACCCAAUCUUGGCUUUUAAAACAACACUCUGCAGAAGUGUUUAUGAGCUGUAUACACCCUAAAGCUGUGUUCUCAGAUUGCUCGCAAGGCUAUUAGGCGGCCCACGUGUUUAGAAUUUAUCAGUUUAUUUCCAUACUGCAAAAAUUAGAUCACAUAUUUGGGACAAAGUUUUGUUUCCUAACAUAGCAAAAUGUGUACGAGACUGGAUUUAUUGCUGAUUAAUAAUGUAACCAUCAACACCAACACACCUAAAUGUUAAUAAAGGUUGACCUCUAUUAAGAGACAUGGGCAACUUUUCCCUUUUAUGGAUAGUUUAUUGUGACAAGUGUGUCACAACAGCAAAGCUCCUAGUUUAUGGGUAUUUAAGCCCAAUGAUAAAAUACUUUAAACAUGCAGAGUGGUGGAUAAGUUAUAAAGGAGAGGGAAGGGAAAGCAAGCUACUCAACUUCAAAAUACCCAGUGUGUCUUUUUUUGUGCUCUAUAAGAACAACUUUGGCACUGGACCUAAUUUAAAUCAAAUGUAAACAAAGGGAUUUUAAAUUAACCGGUAGU